UACGGAGGGUGCAAGCGUUAUCCGGAUUCACUGGGUUUAAAGGGUGCGUAGGUGGGUUGGUAAGUCAGUGGUGAAAUCCCCGAGCUUAACUUGGGAACUGCCAUUGAUACUAUCAGUCUUGAAUAUUGUGGAGGUUAGCGGAAUAUGUCAUGUAGCGGUGAAAUGCUUAGAUAUGACAUAGAGCACCAAUUGCGAAGGCAGCUGGCUACGCAUAUAUUGACACUGAGGCACGAAAGCGUGGGGAUCAAACAGG
rnacentral:rRNA from 1 species